rnacentral:rRNA from 1 species
AUGCCGACGGCGACCCCGACGGCGACGGGCCUGGCGACGGGGCCGGGCAGCCGCGUGACGCGGUACGCCAAGUCGACGGCGGCGUCGGUCACGCCGGUGCGCCCCGGCAAGACGCACGAGCUCUCCGCGCUGGACAACGCCAUGGGCUGCCACGCCGUGCACCUGGUGCUCUACUGUCGCGCCGCGCCCGGCGUCGACCGGGACCCCCUCAAGGAGUCGCUCUCCGAGGCGCUCUCGCUCUACCCGGCCAUGGUCGGCCGGCUCACCCGCGCCGAAGGAGAGGGCGGCGCCGCGGCCGGCUCGGGGUGGAUUGUCAAAUGCAACGACGCCGGCGUGCGCACGGUGGACGCGAGGGCGUCGGUCACGCUCGACGAGUGGCUCGCCACGGCCACCGCCGACGACGAGAUGGACCUCGCCUACUUCGAGCCCAUGGGAUCCGAGGCUUACAUCUGGUCUCCCUUCUACGUCCAGCUGACGGAGUUCGCGGACAAGUCGUACGCGCUGGGGCUGAGCUGCACGCACUACCACAACGACCCCACGGCGGCCGCGCUCUUCUUCCACGGCUGGGCCGCCGCCCACCGCCGGAGCAGCAGCCCAUACCCGCCCUUCCUCCACUCGCCGUCCUUCGCCGUGUCCCCGGCCGCCUCGCCGCUCCCGGCGCCGCCUCUGCUCGCCGCCAAGUCCGCGGCCGCUCCGCCUAGCGCCGACGUCGCCGACGCCAUGUCAUCCGCCACGUUCCACUUCCCCGCCGACGCGAUGCGCGCACUGCUGUCCUCCCUCGAGCCCGAGACGACCCCAUUCGGGGCGCUCGCCGCGCUCUUCUGGCUCCGCAUCGCCGGCGCCGAGGAGGAGAGGGAGCUCACGCUCGCCAUCGACUUCCGCAAGAAGAUGCACGCGCCGCUGCCGACGGGGUACUACGGCAGCGCCGUCCACUUCACGCGCGCGCGCGCCGACCUGGCGUCGGGGCUCGCGGCCGUGGCAGCGGCGCUGGACCGGCGCGGGGCCAGCGUGCCGGAGGAGGAUCUGUGGGCCGCCGUGGAGUGGCUGCACGCGCGGCAGGCGGAAGGCGGCGAGCCCUUCCAGCUGUACGGGCCAGAGUUCACCUGCAUGGCGCUGGACCACGUUCCCAUGUACGGCGCCGAGUUCGUGGCCGGGGUGCCGCCGGCGCGCGUGUCGUGCCGCGUCGGCGGGGCGACCGGAGAGGGGAUCGUGAUCGUCGUGCCCGCGGCCGAGGGCGCGGCGAGGGACGUGGUGGUGACGCUCCCGGCAGAGGCGACGGCCAGGCUCUGCCGCGACGUCGAGCUGCUCCGGUACGGCGCCGAGGUGAUGGCUGGGCCCAAGGUGGGAACGGGGGCCAAGGCACAGUAG